CGGGACGGGUGAGUAAUGUCUGGGAAACUGCCUGAUGGAGGGGGGUAACUACUGGAAACGGUAGCUAAUACCGCAUAACGUCGCAAGACCAAAGAGGGGGACUUCGGGCCUCUUGCCAUCGGAUGUGCCCAGAUGGGAUUAGCUAGUAGGUGGGGUAACGGCUCACCUAGGCGACGAUCCCUAGCUGGUCUGAGAGGAUGACCAGCCACACUGGAACUGAGACACGGUCCAG
rnacentral:rRNA from 1 species